CUGACAUCAAAUGCCAAAUUUUACUAAAUGUAUAGUUGUGGACCCUGCAAAGCUCCAGGCCAAGGGCAACUUCUGGGCGGUCGACAUAAGCCUGAUCCCAGCAGAGUCGCUAUGGUGGCAGAACACAGCCCUGUGCAGGUGCUGGCAGAACUGGGGUGCAUGUGGAGCCUUCACCAAGGACCUGCGGCCCUACUUGCUGCGAGAUGCUCCCAGUCCCCUGCUGCCACCCCGUGAGGGCUUCAGCAUCAAGUCCCUGCUAGGGGACUCUGGGGAGGGGGCACCCUGGUCGGGACUGGUGCCACAGAGCAGCCCAGCUCCUUCAGGCAUGGGGAGCAGUGGGGAGGAGGUGGUGCCCACCCCACCCCUGCCCUCCUCUGAGAGGCCUCUGUGGCCUCUCUGCCCUCUUCCCAGCCCCAUAAGAAUGGAGGGGGAGGCUUCCCAGCAGGGAGCCACUGGGCCCUCGACCCUCUCCACAGAGCCUAGGGCCUGGUCUCUCCACUCUACUGCAGGACACCUCAGUUCUUGGGUGGCUGUCCAGUGGGGGACACAGGGCCUCCCCCUGGGGGCAGCUGCCCACCUCCUACUUGCCUAUCUACACUCCCAAUGUGGUAAUGCCCUUGGCACCACCACCCACCUACUGUCCCCAGUGUCUACCGUCAACUGGCCCUGCCUACUAGGGAGUGGCCUCUGAAACCAGAGGGCCCCCAGGCUGCUCUGGGAUCUAGACACCCUCUUCCAGGAGGUGCCACCCAAUAAAAGCAUCUAUGACAUUUGGGUCAGCCAUGCUUGGGACCUGGUGGCUCCUGCUCCAGGCUGGUUGCUCUCUUGGUGCAGCCUG
rnacentral:lncRNA from 1 species